AUGCUCACUUUGGCAUCAGAUAUACUAAAACUGAGAUGAUACAGAAAAGAUUAAUAUGGCCCCUAUGCAAAGAUGAUAUGCAAAAUUCAUUAAAUAUUCUGUAUCCUA
rnacentral:snRNA from 1 species